rnacentral:tRNA from 1 species
GCCCAGCUGGCUCAGUUGGUAGAGCAUGGCACCCUUAAUGCCAGGGUUGUGGGUUCAAGCCCCACGUUGGGUG